GUGAACUCCCACUCGCCCGGCUCCUCGGCCACGGCACGGUCGCCGAAGAAGGCGCCGUCGGCCAGGACACCGCGCCGGGUCUCCUCGCCGUACUUGCCGGUGCCGGCCUUCUCCACCUUGCCGCGCGCGAUCAGAUAGACGUGGUCGACGGACCCGCCCUGCUCGGCGAUGACCUGGCCGGGCUCGUACUCGCGCUGCCGGCACCGCUCGGCCAGCGCGCGCAGCGUCGCGUCGUCGUGGAAGCCGCGCAGCAGCGGCAGCUCCCCCAGCUCCGCGGGAACGACCCGGACGGCGGUGCCUUCCUGGACGAAGGUGAUCCGGCCGUCGCCGACCUCGUACGUCAGACGGCGGUUGACCCGGUAGGCGCCGCCCUUCACCUCCAGCCAGGGCAGCAUGCGCAGCAGCCAGCGGGAGCUGAUGCCCUGCAUCUGCGGGACGCUCUUGGUGGUGGUCGCCAGGUUCCGCGCAGCGGCGAUCCCCAGGCUGAGCUGUCCCCU
rnacentral:antisense_RNA from 1 species